rnacentral:pre_miRNA from 1 species
GGCUGUGAACUGGCUUAAUCUCAGCUGGCAACUGUGAGCAGUUAAUAGUUCUCACAGUGGUAUCUGGGAUUAUGCUUAACACAGCA